UAGGGAAUCUUCCGCAAUGGACGCAAGUCUGACGGAGCAACGCCGCGUGAGUGAAGAAGGAUUUCGGUUCGUAAAACUCUGUUGUUAGAGAAGAACAGCGCAUAGAGUAACUGUUAUGCGUGUGACUGUAUCUAACCAGAAAGCCACGGCUAACUACGUGCCAGCAGCCGCGGUAAUACGUAGGUGGCAAGCGUUGUCCGGAUUUAUUGGGCGUAAAGCGAGCGCAGGCGGUCAAUUAAGUCUGAUGUGAAAGCCCCCGGCUCAACCGGGGAGGGUCAUUGGAAACUGGUUGACUUGAGUGCAGAAGAGGAGAGUGGAAUUCCAUGUGUAGCGGUGAAAUGCGUAGAUAUAUGGAGGAACACCAGUGGCGAAGGCGACUCUCUGGUCUGUAACUGACGCUGAGAAGCGAAAGCGUGGGGAGCGAACAGG
rnacentral:rRNA from 1 species